rnacentral:rRNA from 1 species
AUUGAACGCUGGCGGCAUGCUUUACACAUGCAAGUCGAACGGUAACAGGUUAAGCUGACGAGUGGCGAACGGGUGAGUAAUGCAUCGGAACGUGCCCGGUCGUGGGGGAUAACACUUCGAAAGAAGUGCUAAUACCGCAUACGAUCUGAGGAUGAAAGCGGGGGACCGUAAGGCCUCGCGCGAUCGGAGCGGCCGAUGUCAGAUUAGGUAGUUGGUGGGGUAAAGGCUCACCAAGCCGACGAUCUGUAGCUGGUCUGAGAGGACGACCAGCCACACUGGGACUGAGACACGGCCCAGACUCCUACGGGAGGCAGCAGUGGGGAAUUUUGGACAAUGGGCGCAAGCCUGAUCCAGCAAUGCCGCGUGCAGGAAGAAGGCCUUCGGGUUGUAAACUGCUUUUGUACGGAGCGAAAAGGCUCUCUCUAAUACAGGGGGCUCAUGGCGGUACCGUAAGAAUAAGCACCGGCUAACUACGUGCCAGCCGCCGCUGUAAUAC